UACGUAGGGGGCAAGCGUUGUCCGGAGUUACUGGGCGUAAAGCGCACGCAGGCGGUCUGCUAAGUUUGGAGUGACAGUUGGGGGCUCAACUCCCAAAGUGCUUUGAAAACUGACAGACUUGAGGGCUUCAGAGGGACACGGAAUUCCGGGUGGAGUGGUGAAAUGCGUAGAGAUCCGGAGGAACACCGAAGGCGAAGGCAGUGUCCUGGACCGGCAUUGACGCUGAGGCGCGAAAGCCAGGGGAGCAAACGGG
rnacentral:rRNA from 1 species